rnacentral:rRNA from 1 species
UACGUAGGGUGCGAGCGUUAAUCGGAAUUACUGGGCGUAAAGAGUGCGUAGGCGGUUCGUUAGUGUCUGCUGUGAAAGCCCCGGGCUUAACCCGGGAAUGGCAGUGGAAACUGGCGGGCUUGAGUGUGGCAGAGGGGGGUGGAAUUCCGCGUGUAGCAGUGAAAAUGCGUAGAGAUGCGGAGGAACACCGAUGGCGAAGGCAGCCCCCUGGGCUAACACUGACGCUGAGGCACGAAAGCGUGGGGAGCAAACAGG